AGUGAACGCUGGCGGUAGGCCUAACACAUGCAAGUCGAACUGCAGCACAGGAGAGCUUGCUCUCUGGGUGGCGAGUGGCGGACGGGUGAGGAAUACAUCUGAAUCUACUCUGUCGUGGGGCAUACCGUAGGGAAACUUAAGCUAAUACCGCAUACGACCUACGGGUGAAAGCAGGGGAUCUUCGCACCUUUCGCGAUUGAAUGAGCCGAUGUCGGAUUAGCUAGUUGGCGGGGUAAAGGCCCACCAAGGCGACGAACCGUAGCUGGUCUGAGAGGAUGAUCAGCCACACUGGAACUGAGACACGGUCCAGACUCCUACGGGAGGCAGCAGUGGGGAAUAUUGGACAAUGGGCGCAAGCCUGAUCCAGCCAUACCGCGUGGGUGAAGAAGGCCUUCGGGUUGUAAAGCCCUUUUGUUGGGAAAGAAAUCCAGCUGGUUAAUACCCGGUUGGGAUGACGGUACCCAAAGAAUAAGCACCGGCUAACUUCGUGCCAGCCGCCGCGGUAA
rnacentral:rRNA from 1 species